GACGAACGCUGGCGGCGUGCUUAACACAUGCAAGUCGUACGGUAAGGCCCUUUCGGGGGUACACGAGUGGCGAACGGGUGAGUAACACGUGAGUAACCUGCCCACAACUUUGGGAUAACGCUAGGAAACUGGUGCUAAUACUGGAUAUGUGCUCCUGCUGCAUGGUGGGGGUUGGAAAGCUCCGGCGGUUGUGGAUGGACUCGCGGCCUAUCAGCUUGUUGGUGGGGUAGUGGCCUACCAAGGCGGCGACGGGUAGCCGGCCUGAGAGGGUGACCGGCCACAUUGGGACUGAGAUACGGCCCAGACUCCUACGGGAGGCAGCAGUGGGGAAUAUUGCACAAUGGGCGCAAGCCUGAUGCAGCAACGCCGUGUGCGGGAUGACGGCCUUCGGGUUGUAAACCGCUUUCAGCAGGGACGAAGCUUUUUGUGACGGUACCUGCAGAAGAAGCACCGGCUAACUACGUG
rnacentral:rRNA from 1 species